ensembl:lncRNA
GGGGGGGGGGGGGGGGGGGGGAGAGGAGUGUCCCAAAGGAAGGAGGAGGGGACCUGCAGACAGGCUGGGCGAUAAAACCGAGGCGAGGGGAGCCUGCGAGAGGACUACUUUGGAAACACUCGUAGCCCUGGAGCAGGACAGCCUGGGUGCGUGGGGAGACACAGGGUGGAUUUACUGGCUCUACAAAAACUGCCUGGAUCACGCAUGCACUGGGACCGGCUCAGCAAAAACUACAAGACAGAAGUGUCAGGCAAAGCAAGAGAGUGAAAACAAGGGAAAGUGCUGAGGAGAGAGAGAGAGAGAGAGAGACAGAGAGAGAGAGAGAGAGAGAGAGAGAGAGAGAGAGAGAGAGAAGAGUAAGAGUGAUUGAGUGAGAGACAGAAAAAGAGCAUGAAAACAGAAGUGGUGAAUUAAAUAGCACAGAUACCACCCACUGAGCCUCCAUACCACACACAGAGGACUUGUCACACUCUCCGACGCACAGACACGCACACCCUCACACUCACACACACAGAGAGAGAGAGAGAGAGAGAGAGAGAGAGAGAGACGCACCACACUGUGUGCUCAGUGACUCAACCUCUCAGAGAGACUCCGGGACAUAAACAUAGCAUCUAUACUACACACACACACGCACACACACGCACGCACGCACACACAGAUCACCCUCACCCGUUCUGACAACACCACACACAGUGAUUUGAUUGCAGUAAGUGGAUGAGCUCACACCUGAGGAAAACGUUUGAGGCGCAGAAACAUGCUCACACUCCCAGGAGCACAGAGCAGCAUGGCAGAGUAAGAACGACAAGAACGCUCCUCUGCUCUGCAACCUGCAGGAUCUCAGCUCAGCUCUGCUCUGCUCAGUCAGGGCUAGUCAAACAGGGGACGGCAGCAUCAGCUGGACCAUCAGCAAGAGCCAAGGACCUUUUCAGAUCCUACUCUCUUUAAGAGGUCAGCCCUGAGGACCCCACACGGCCGAACAACGAAGACUAGGGUGUUCCUCUGAGGGCAGACGACGGUGGUUGCAGAGACCCCCGGAGGGAUACAGGACGCUUCCGUUGCCUUCACAGCGCGGGAGGAUGGGUGCUUAGCCCUCCCGAGGAGGACCAGCAGGAGUCACGUGAAGGAGCCCAGCCGAGCCCAGCCACGUACGCCUGGCCCCCCCGGAGGAUGGUGCCCUGCCGAGGGUCGCGGGGGGUGCUGCUGCUGCCCCUGCUGCCGGGGCUGCUGCUAGCGCUGCUGCUGCUGCUGCUGCUGCCGAUCCCCCUGCGCGGCGCCACACACAGCGAGGACAGCGCCGAGCUGGACGGAGACAACUACACAGUCAGCACAGAGAGCCCGUCCUCUUCACAGGAGACAAUCUCGUCUGAUGCAGCGAUAGCCAGUCCUCUCAACACCUGGCUGUUGUUCAGGAACUCCAAUAAGGGGGAACCCAAGAGGUCCUCCGGGCCCCCACUAUCCCCUGCAGGAGGCCCUCAUGCAGGAGUUCCAGCUCAAGCUGAAGGGUAAAGAUGCUUUUAGGGAACACAAUGUCAUUAACACGCCUGAUAAACCUGAGAGCCAAUCAAGGAGUUCAAGUCACAACCAUCAGAAACUGAAGCUUUCAGCUUCCUACUAAUGUGAAUAUUUAGAAAUGAAUGUAGCCAGUCAUACAAUCCUAU